CCUGAGAAACCCAAAAGAUCGAUCGGGGAGAUUCAUCGCAACCGAUUCUGGUACGUGCGCGGCUCGCGAGGUCGCGGGACUCUGUUCCACGAGACGCGUCCACGCAUGGUUUUAUUGCCAGGUGUCGUCGGCGUGCACUUCUCCCCUAGUAGAACGUCGCGACCCGUUGGGCCCGACCGCCCGGCUGCCCCGCGGUACUCGCACGGUAUCGGGCCGCAAAUAUUCGAACUGCGUCCGGCCCGCCGCAAGCGAGGUCAGUGUUUCCCGGAUGCGCGGACCUAGCGCCACCACCGGGCCUGGCCAGCUGUUGGUCGGCGGUGUCCUGGGACUGGCUCGUCGAUUAUGAUACCGGUCGGCGACGCUACUGCUUUGGGUACUUUCAGGACCCGUCUUGAAACACGGACCAAGGAGUCUAACAUGUGCGCGAGUCAUUGGGAGCUCUGAAGCCUGAAGGCGCAAUGAAAGUGAAGGUCGGCCUCGCGCCGACCGAGGGAGGUUGGGCCGCGUCACGAUGCGGUCCCGCACUCCCGGGGCGUCUCGUUCUCAUUGCGAGAAGAGGCGCACCCAGA
rnacentral:rRNA from 1 species